rnacentral:rRNA from 1 species
CCUACGGGUGGCAGCAGUGAGGAAUAUUGGUCAAUGGGCGCGAGCCUGAACCAGCCAAGUCGCGUGAGGGAAGACGGUUCUAUGGAUUGUAAACCUCUUUUGUCGGGGAGCAAAAGACGCCACGCGUGGCGUUCCGAGAGUACCCGAAGAAAAAGCAUCGGCUAACUCCGUGCCAGCAGCCGCGGUAAUACGGAGGAUGCGAGCGUUAUCCGGAUUUAUUGGGUUUAAAGGGUGCGCAGGCGGAAGAUCAAGUCAGCGGUAAAAUUGAGAGGCUCAACCUCUUCGAGCCGUUGAAACUGGUUGUCUAGAGUGAGGGCGAGGUAGGCGGAAUGCGUGGUGUAGCGGUGAAAUGCAUAGAGAUCACGCAGAACACCGAUUGCGAAGGCAGCAUACCGGCGCACAACUGACGUUCAUGCACGAAAGUGUGGGUAUCGAACAGGAUUAGAUACCCUUGUAGUC